rnacentral:tRNA from 2 species
GUGGGCGUGGCCAAGUUUGGUCUAAGGCGCCAGGUUGUGGCCCUGGAGAUCGAGGGUUCAAAUCCCUCCGCUCACCCCA